rnacentral:lncRNA from 1 species
AGCAUAUAUAUCUGGGGGGAACACAGACAUUUUAUCCAUAGCCAGGGUCUUCCAAACAGAGGAAUUAGUCAAAUGUCCCAGAGAGAAAGAGUAUACUACACACAUGCAACAUCUCAUCUCACAGGAAAUGAAACCACUAGAUGGCCCUGCUCAUUUUAAUAAAACAUCAAUAAGGAAUAUGUAACUCUUUAAAAAGGUAGCCGACCAAGUCAAUAUAUCAUACUGAUAGGACCUUGGGUUUUGUAACUUUGGCUAAGUGAGAUUUUAAAAGUACAUCAUUUCCUGAAAGACACCAGGUUGUAAAAAAAAUAAAACCUAAGUGAAGGUGUGACUUUAAAAAUCGUGUUGUAGUAACACCAGGAGUUAACUCAGCCUGAUGAUGAGUCCUGAGGCCAGACCAAAAAUGGAUCAGCCAGUACUCCAGAUCCUGCAGCCUUGGCUGGGCCAAGCACGUAUACUUUUUCUUUCGGGUCUAGUAAUAUUACUCCACCCCUGGGAAGAAAUAAAAAUAUAUUACUGAAACCCUAGGAAGAUAUUAAAAUAAGUAUACUAAUAUCCCCCAGGAAGGUAUAAAACAAGCACAUAAAUUGUCAAAGAAAUGAAUAAGUCCAUUGUUCUGAGACUUUAGAAUAGGUUCAAGUGUAAGUAUAAUAUUAAUAAUAAGCUUUGUAGUCAUUGCAUUUGUGAAAGUUUUAUGAUAUUUGAAGUGUUGGGGAAAAAAUCGGCCA